ensembl:lncRNA
CACGAUAACCAAGGCAUUUUAUACAUUGUGUUUUUUUUUCCUUUGUGUUUCUAUGGGUCUUAUUUACAAACAUGGUUAUGUACAAAUAACAACAACUCCAGAAUGGAAAGAAAAAAAAAAACAGCCAGAUAAAGUCUAUCACGAACAACCAGUUAGCAUAAUAUAAUAAUAUAUUUGUUAUGUACAAAGUAACUGGCAUGACCAGAGCAUGACAGAUCACUUGGAUUAUCUCAAUCACUUCAAGUAUCUGUCUGGUAGCAGGUAGUCCCAUAGAGACGGCUUCCAGCCACGACCAGAGAAGCCAUGGAACCACGUUACGUUAAGCUGAGGAGAACGGAGCCAGGAUGGGACUGACAGCUAUAUAUACACACUGGAUGGUGUAGACUGCAUGACAUAUAGAAUGUAACACACACAAACACACAACGUAUGACUAUAUGUAUAACCGAAUGUACACUUAAUGUAGAACACUGUAUAUAUCAUCAACUGUAUGAUGUGAACACUGUAUGUCACACUGUUUGAUGUGCACUGUAUAUAUCAUUAACUCUAUGAUGUGUACACUGUAUAUUUCAUGAACUGUAUGACGUGUACACUGUACGUCACACUUUUUGAUGUGCACUUAUAUAUAUUGUGAACUUUAUGAGGUGUACACUGUAUGUCAAACUGUUUGAUGUACAGUGUAUAUAUCAUGAACUGUAUGACAUUUUCUGUGUAUGAUGUACUGAAACAGUAUGAUAUACAGUUUGUGUUCAACAAGCAAGAACAUUUUCGUGGCAAAAGGUUUAACAUUCAACUUCUCCGAUCAUCGGUCAGAAAGACAACUUUUGUACAACGUAUUAUAUAUAAACCAAUGGGCGGGGAUUUAUUUGCCCCUACUGGAUGAUAUCCACAACCACGUCAAAACAGCCAAGUGUUUUUUUUAUUUUCUUCCUGCCAACAACGAAUGCGCAAUACGUACAGAAAGCCAAUGGAGAGGGUGGACGCAGAUGGGCACAUACUCUUGCUGAGGGGAAACGCAUUUCUGAUUCCCGUACCAACUGACAACAAAGUGAUUCUGAUGUGGUUUAACUACACAUCAGAGGCAUUCAAAAAGAAAACAUCCACUUUUUCCUUGGCCUACAAUCAAGAGUAUUUCGGGGAGAUGGGUCACUCCCGUAUUUUGAGUUUUUCCAGGUUUUAUUUUCUCUCACUUUACAUUUGUGUGUGUAUCGUUAAGAAAUGAAUCCCCUUGGUCAAACUGGACCAAUAAAGUAACAAACAUUCAAUACGCAGCAGUACCUUAAACGUCCAAAUAAGCGGUCCAAAGUUAAACAAUGUGUAGGAACGAGCUUGUUUCACAGAGAACUCUCACUAUUCAGUCCAGGCUUAACAGUUAGUCUUAUUUGAAUAAUAACUGGGGCCACUACAUGGUCAUGUGCGACCAGAAAGCUAAAGUAUGGACAAAUACCAGAGGCUGUUUAUCCUCCAACGUCUCAGAAACCGGUAGCUAACAUGGAACAGACGAUGAGGGGCAGCGGGUCCCCGUCGCGGCGCUGGUUCUUCUUCAGCAGCUGGAUGCGGUUGUGGCAGUAGAACUUGAUGGCGCGCCAGUCCCGCUGGUUGCUGACCAGCAGGGGCACUGCUGCAGGCAGCGCUCGCAGUCCGCCUUGGCCGGCACACGCAGCUCAGCGAUGUUGCGCGUCAGGUGCUCCUCCACCGCGGCACGCUCCGCCUCCGACCACGGCCGCUUCAGCACCCCUCGCUUACCUG